UUAAACAGGCUGAUAAUUUAAUGUACAACACAGGCAUAUGGAGAAAACUCCUAGCAUAUGGGGAAAAUUCACAACUGGAGUAAAAAUAUGCCUCUAAAAUCAGGUGGAACAAGUUGUAUCACAAAAUAACACGUUUUAUUAACACUCUGGACGUUUUCAUCUUCAUCUGAGACAGACAAUUGGAACCCGCACAGACAAAAGCCUGCUCAAAACCUGUGCUCUUCCACCUCGGGGGAGAUUUCAACCCCAAGUGCUUGCGAACCUCAGUGCAAAACUUGUGAGGAGGUCUGGAAACGGUGAAGGUGAGAACGAAGCACAGCAUCAUCACCUGCCCAAAGUGAGUAUGAAAAAUGCGGUGUGAACAAGAGUGGCAGGGACAAAAGGGGCCCUGCUAGCCGGGGAUGGACCAGGAGACUCAGAAAUGAAAGGAAAAGGGGCAACCCAAGACGUCUCCCCUGCAGAGACAGCUGCACCUCGGGAGGGGACCAGGAAAAGUGAAGCAGCUUCAGGGCCACUGACCCCAGCGUCCCAGCUGCCAUGGGUGAUCUGCAGGUCCACCCGCCACGGAGCAGGCAGAGCAGAACACGGGGCCACCAGGGUAAAGAUGCAAAGACUCAUUGGUGUCCCCCACUCGUAAUCAAAACCAAAGCGAACUAUGCUAAAUGGCAAGACACCUGACUUAUGAAACUGUAAGUCUUUCGCUGUUGUUCAGUCACUAUGCUGUGUCCAACUCUGUGUGACCCCAUGGACUGCAGCACGCCAUGCUUCCUUGUCCUUCCCCAUCUCCCGGAGCUUGCUCAAAUUCAUGUCCAUUGAGUCAGUGAUGCCAUCCAACCAUCUCAUCCUCUGUCGUACCCUUCUUCCCCUGCCUUCAAUCUUUCCCAGCAUCAGGGUCUUUUCCAAUGAGGCGACUCUUCGCAUCUGGUGGCCAAAGGAUGGAAGCUUCCGCUUCAGCAUCAGUCCUUCCGAUGAAUAAUCAGGGUUGGUUUCUUUAAUGAGUUUAUUCCCAAUUCUGGGCUUCCAACUUGCCAACUGAUUCCAUCCUGGUUUUUUAUUUUGAUUUUCCCUACCUUCUUCUCAACUUCUCCUAACAACUUUUCAGUUACUCUACUGAACUACAGUGACUAGAAGUAAUCCCAGGAAGAGGAACACCGAAAGAAAUGAAUCAUCUCCAAGUUGCUGAGCUGAGACAAUCACAGUGUAGGAAUGUGACAAUCCAAGGACCAAAAAACAAAUUAUUCUGUCUAGUAGCUAACCAAUCAUCACACAGCUAACACAUGUGUCUAAAAGAAAACAGAAGAUGAAUCCAAAGAAUCAGCCAACACAUUUAAAAUUCAUUCAAUCUGUAAGUCACUUCACCCAUAAAUCCAUCUAUCCAUCAAUCCAGCCACCUUUCCGCAAGUCCAUCCUUCCUACCAGCAUCUUUUGAGCCCCCUCAUAUGUACCAGGCACUCUGAAAGAUUCACGGGUCUGUAAGUACCCUACAUACAAACAAGUUUGGUUCUGAGAGCAUGUUUGUAAGUUCAAUUUGUUCAUAAAUCCAACAAAGUUAGCCCAAGUACUCAACUACAAUUAGACAUAUAGUACUGUAAUAUUUAUAAUACUUUUUAUGCAAAUAAUACACAAAAAAGUAUCUUACAAAAAAUGAAACAUUUUU
rnacentral:lncRNA from 1 species